rnacentral:rRNA from 1 species
CCUACGGGUGUCAGCAGUGAGGAAUAUUGGUCAAUGGGCGCGAGCCUGAACCAGCCAAGUAGCGUGAAUGAUGACUGCCCUACGGUUUGUACACUUCUUUUAUAAAGGACUAAAGUGAGGCACGUGUGCCUUUUUGUAUGUACUUUAUGAAUAAGGAUCGGCUAACUCCGUGCCAGCAGCCGCGGUAAUACGGAGGAUCCGAGCGUUAUCCGGAUUUAUUUGGUUGAAAGGGAGCGUAGAUGGGUUGUUAAGUCAGUUGUGAAAGUUUGCGGCUCAACCGUAAAAUUGCAAUUGAUACUGGCAGUCUUGAGUACAGUUGAGGGAGGCGGAAUGAGUGGUGUAGCGGUGAAAUGCUUAGAUAUCACGAAGAACUCCGAUUGCGAAGGCAGCUUACUAAACUGCCACUGACAUUGAUGAUCGAAAGUGUGGGUAUCAAACAGGAUUAGAGACCCUAGUAGUC